rnacentral:lncRNA from 1 species
UACACAUAUAAUAAUUCUCAUUUUAUGUAAAGGACAUUUCCUAAGGGGAAAACCCCGCCCUCCGGGCUUAAGCAUUGAAAACAACAGACUUUUGCCCACACAGAACUGAGCCUAGUUGGGGAGGGUGCCCCCUGGUGGUCCGAAUUGGGAAAACAGCUCUCCCAGUGUGCGUACAAAAGAGAAUUUCAAAGUGUCAGCCGCAGGGCCGAUUAGGCCGGGAUGGGAGUGGGUAUCCUGUGUAAUUUAGAAUAGCUUCCAGGGAAUCCUAAAAGGCCUCUUCUCAUCGAAGGCUGAAGAGCUAACUCCCUUAGACAAGCUUCAGCAUGUUUGCCAACCUUGGAAUUAAAAUUUUGGACUCCUUUUCUUUGGCAACGGAUCCCAUAUCUGGCAUCUUCCAGUUAGUGCUUUGAAGCAGUUUUCCCUAUGAUGCAAUUUAUCAUCCAGACUAUGGGACAUUUAUGACUCCAUAAUUACAGGGAUAACAGGUAAGAACAUCUCAAGUCAAGCUGACUCAUCUUUAUGUCCACCCACACUGAGAAGACAUGAGCACUUUCCAUUUUAACUCUUUCCAAAGGACCGGGGAUAGAAGACACGAAGGAAGCCAGGUCCCGCUUACCACCUGUUUAGUUACUUUUCUACUGCUGUGGCAAAACAUCAUGACCAAAAGAAAGAAUAAAAGAAGCCGGGCGGUGGUGGUGCAGCAUGCCUUAGUGAUGGCACACACCUUCAGUCCCGGCACUCGGGAGGCAGAGGCUGGUGGAUCUCUGAGUUCAAGGCCAGCCUGGUCUACAAAGCAAGUUCCAGGACAGCCAGGGCUACACAGAGAAACCUUGACCCCACCCCCACCCCAACCAAUAAAUAAAC